rnacentral:rRNA from 1 species
AUUGAACGCUGGCGGCAUGCCUUACACAUGCAAGUCGAACGGUAACAGGUCUUCGGAUGCUGACGAGUGGCGAACGGGUGAGUAAUACAUCGGAACGUGCCCGAGAGUGGGGGAUAACGAGGCGAAAGCUUUGCUAAUACCGCAUACGAUCUCAGGAUGAAAGCAGGGGACCGCAAGGCCUUGCGCUCACGGAGCGGCCGAUGGCAGAUUAGGUAGUUGGUGGGAUAAAAGCUUACCAAGCCGACGAUCUGUAGCUGGUCUGAGAGGACGACCAUCCACACUGGGACUGAGACACGGCCCAGACUCCUACGGGAGGCAGCAGUGGGGAAUUUUGGACAAUGGGCGCAAGCCUGAUCCAGCCAUGCCGCGUGCAGGAUGAAGGCCUUCGGGUUGUAAACUGCUUUUGUACGGAACGAAAAGACUCUGGUUAAUACCUGGGGUCCAUGACGGUACCGUAAGAAUAAGCACCGGCUAACUACGUGCCAGCCGCCGCUGUAAUAC